UAAAGAAUUGAUGAAAAACAGUGAAGAUCAAAUGUUCAUCUCAAAACUGCUUUUACAAAAGCAGAAUAAAAAUGAAGUGAAAAAAUGC
ensembl:misc_RNA predicted gene, 27694